UACGGGGGGGGUAAGCGUUGUUCGGAAUUACUGGGCGUAAAGGGCUCGUAGGCGGCCAACUAAGUCAGACGUGAAAUCCCUCAGCUUAACUGGGGAACUGCGUCUGAUACUGGAUGGCUUGGAUUUGGGAGAGGGAUGCGGAAUUCCAGGUGUAGCGGUGAAAUGCGUAGAUAUCUGGAGGAACACCGGUGGCGAAGGCGGCAUCCUGGACCAAUAUUGACGCUGAGGAGCGAAAGCCAGGGGAGCGAACAGG
rnacentral:rRNA from 1 species